rnacentral:rRNA from 1 species
GGGCCCGCACAAGCGGUGGAGCAUGUGGUUUAAUUCGAUGAUACGCGAGGAACCUUACCAGGGUUUAAAUGCAGAACGACAGGGUGGAAACACCCCCUUCUUCGGACGGACUGCAAGGUGCUGCAUGGUUGUCGUCAGCUCGUGCUGUGAAGUGUCGGGUUAAGUCCCAUAACGAGCGCAACCCCCAUUUCUAGUUGCCAGCGGUUCGGCCGGGGACUCUAGAGAAACUGCCAGCGUAAGCUGUGAGGAAGGUGGGGAUGACGUCAAAUCAUCACGGCCCUUACAUCCUGGGCCACACACGUGCUACAAUGGUGGGGACAGAGAGUUGCCAACCCGCGAGGGUGAGCU